rnacentral:rRNA from 1 species
UACAGGGGGUGCAAACGUUGCUCGGAAUCAUUGGGCGUAAAGCGCACGUAGGCGGUCUGUUAUGUCGGAUGUGAAAGCCCUUGGCUCAACUGAGGAAGUGCAUCCGAAACUGGCAGGCUAGAGUACUAAAGAGGGUCGCGGAAUUCCCGGUGUAGAGGUGAAAUUCGUAGAUAUCGGGAGGAACACCGGUGGCGAAGGCGGCGACCUGGGUAGAUACUGACGCUGAGGUGCGAAAGCGUGGGGAGCAAACCGG